rnacentral:lncRNA from 1 species
AAUUAACCACGGAGAUGAAACUGAAGUUAACCACGGAGAUGAAACUGAAGUUGACAAUGAUGGGGAAGAUGAAAUUUAUCAUAAGCGACCUGAUAAAGACAAAGCACUAAAGAAAUACAGAAAAUUGAAACUUAGACUAG